GAGGCAUGGAAGGAAGGAGAAAGAAAGCGAGUUUUUUUUUUUUGUGGAGAGGCAGCAAAAGAAGCAGCAUUCCUUGGCUGGGAAUGCCAUGUGGAAUUACACUGAUGAGAAGUAUGAAUGAGAAUGCUGAUGGAUCAAUCAAACUGCAUUGCUUUCUUUUGUAUAAGCACUGGACCAUCUGGUGUCAGAGAUGGAGAGACCCUGUCACCCUUAACAAAUUG